rnacentral:rRNA from 1 species
AUUUUGGACAAUGGGGGAAACCCUGAUCCAGCAAUGCCGCGUGUGCGAAGAAGGCCUUCGGGUUGUAAAGCACUUUUGUCAGGGAAGAAAUCCUUUGGGCUAAUACCCUAGGGGGAUGACGGUACCUGAAGAAUAAGCACCGGCUAACUACGUGCCAGCAGCCGCGGUAAUACGUAGGGUGCAAGCGUUAAUCGGAAUUACUGGGCGUAAAGCGUGCGCGGGCGGUUGUGUAAGACAGGUGUGAAAUCCCCGGGCUUAACCUGGGAAUUGCAUUUGUGACUGCACGACUAGAGUGUGUCAGAGGGGGGUGGAAUUCCACGUGUAGCAGUGAAAUGCGUAGAUAUGUGGAGGAACACCAAUGGCGAAGGCAGCCCCCUGGGAUAACACUGACGCUCAUGCACGAAAGCGUGGGGAGCAAACAGG